GAUGAACGCUGGCGGCGUGCUUAACACAUGCAAGUCGAACGGUGAAGCUCCAGCUUGCUGGAGUGGAUCAGUGGCGAACGGGUGAGUAACACGUGAGCAACCUGCCCCUGACUCUGGGAUAACAGCCGGAAACGGCUGCUAAUACCGGAUAUGCACCAUGAACGCAUGUUCUGUGGUGGGAAAGAUUUUUCGGUUGGGGAUGGGCUCGCGGCCUAUCAGCUUGUUGGUGAGGUAAUGGCUCACCAAGGCGUCGACGGGUAGCCGGCCUGAGAGGGUGACCGGCCACACUGGGACUGAGACACGGCCCAGACUCCUACGGGAGGCAGCAGUGGGGAAUAUUGCACAAUGGGCGAAAGCCUGAUGCAGCAACGCCGCGUGAGGGAUGACGGCCUUCGGGUUGUAAACCUCUUUUAGCAGGGAAGAAGCGAGAGUGACGGUACCUGCAGAAAAAGCGCCGGCUAACUACG
rnacentral:rRNA from 1 species